rnacentral:rRNA from 1 species
ACAUUGACCCUACAUGUGUAGGAUAGGUGGGAGGCUUUGAAGCACGUACGCCAGUAUGUGUGGAGCCGUCCUUGAAAUACCACCCUUGUAGUGUUGAUGUUCUAACGUCGACCCCUUAUCGGGGUUACGGACAGUGCCUGGUGGGUAGUUUGACUGGGGCGGUCUCCUCCCAAAGAGUAACGGAGGAGCACGAAGGUGGGCUAAUCACGGUUGGACAUCGUGAGGUUAGUGCAAUGGCAUAAGCCCGCUUGACUGCGAGAAUGACAAUUCGAGCAGGUGCGAAAGCAGGUCAUAGUGAUCCGGUGGUUCUGAAUGGAAGGGCCAUCGCUCAACGGAUAAAAGGUACUCCGGGGAUAACAGGCUGAUACCGCCCAAGAGUUCAUAUCGACGGCGGUGUUUGGCACCUCGAUGUCGGCUCAUCACAUCCUGGGGCUGAAGUCGGUCCCAAGGGUAUGGCUGUUCG